CUAAAGGGACCAUCUGCAAAACUCAGAUAAGGGCCCUGCCUCACUCGAGCAGCUGUAAGAAUACAUAUCAUGAGACUGCAUUAGGAGCACUGCAUCUAGUUCUGGCAUCCCCAGAACAAAGAAAAAUCUUCAACCUGUUGGAGCAGGUCUAGAGGAGCUCUGUGAAAAAGUUGGAAACAACACCUUCUAAACAAUGAGCAAGUGUCCAUAACAGCUGGGAGAGAGAAAAGCCAAAACUAAGUCAACAUGGACAUUCAAAGGAGAGAUGAAGAGAACAUACAACCAUUAUGAAUAUAGCAUUUGGAAGUCAUCAGUUUGUCCAAUCUCAGACAUUUCUGUCAGAACAUUAAGAGUCAAAAUAUUAUUUCCAGCAUUGGACCACCUGAAGACAAGCAAAAUAUUUAUCAUGCAAGCAUUUGUUAUUAUGUUUGUGGUACCUUAUUACAGGAAGGAAUAAUAGUAGUACUUUAAUAAAAGAAGAUUUAAAAAUGAGUUUAAAUAAUUUCAAAACGAGGAUCAAGAUUACAAUUUAUAAAAAUCGACAGGGUAUAAAUAACAUUUGUUUCUACCUGUUUUAUUCUCGCUUCAAC